rnacentral:rRNA from 1 species
UAGUCCACGCCCUAAACGAUGCUUACUCGUCAUUGGUGAUACACAAUCAGUGACUAAGGGAAACCGUUAAGUAAGCCACCUGGGGAGUACGUUCGCAAGAAUGAAACUCAAAGGAAUUGACGGGGGUCCGCACAAGCGGUGGAGCGUGUGGUUUAAUUCGAUGAUACGCGAGGAACCUUACCUAGGCUCUAAUGCGCGUGACAGCUGGUGAAAACUGGUUUUCUCUUCGGAGACACAAAGCAAGGUGCUGCAUGGUUGUCGUCAGCUCGUGCCGUGAGGUGUUGGGUUAAGUCCCGCAACGAGCGCAACCCCUACCUUUAGUUGCCAACAGGUAAUGCUGGGGACUCUAAAGGAACUGCCUACGCAAGUAGUGAGGAAGGCGGGGACGACGUCAAAUCAUCAUGGCCUUUAUGCCUAGGGCUACACACGUGCUACAAUGGUGGGGACAAAGGGUAGCGAACUUGCAAAAGUAAGCCAAUCCCAGAAACCUCAUCUCAGUUCGGAUUGGAGUCUGCAACUCGA